rnacentral:rRNA from 1 species
AUUGAACGCUGGCGGCAGGCCUAACACAUGCAAGUCGAACGAGUGGCGGACGGGUGAGUAAUGUCUGGGAAACUGCCUGAUGGAGGGGGAUAACUACUGGAAACGGUAGCUAAUACUGCAUACCAUCAGAUGUGCCCAGAGGGGAAUAGCUAGUUGGGUGGGUAACGGCUCAAAAAGGCGACGAUCCCUAGCGGGUCUGAGAGGAUGACCAGCCCCUCUGUAACUUAUGCCGGGUCCAGUCUCCUACGGUAGUCAGCAGUGGGUAAUAUUUCACUAUGGUCGCAGGCCUGAUUCAGCCAUGCCGCGUGAAUGACGAAGGCCUUCGGGUUGUAAAGUACUUACAGCGGGGAGGCGUUACCCGCAGGAGAAGCCCCGGCUAACUCCGUGCCAGCCGCCGCGGUAAUAC